CUUUUCUAGUGGGUGUAGGGUCUGAAAAACUCGUACAUUGUGUGUCGUCAUCAGCUUUUUCUCUUGUAAUUCCACGAGAUUUGAGUUAAAUAACGUCACAACAUCC